rnacentral:rRNA from 1 species
CCUACGGGUGGCAGCAGUGAGGAAUAUUGGUCAAGGGGCGCGAGCCUGAACCAGCCAAGUAGCGUGAAGGAUGACUGCCCUACGGGUUGUAAACUUCUUUUAUAAAGGAAUAAAGUGAGGCACGUGUGCGUUUUUGUAUGUACGUUAUGAAUAAGGAUCGGCUAACUCCGUGACAGCAGCCGCGGUAAUACGGAGGAUCCGAGCGUUAUGCGGAUUUAUUGGGUUUAAAGGGAGCGUAGAUGGGUUGUUAAGUCAGUUGUGAAAGUUUGCGGCUCAACCGUAAAAUGGCAAUUGAUACUGGCAGUCUUGAGUACAGUUGAGGUAGGCGGAAUUCGUGGUGUAGCGG